rnacentral:rRNA from 1 species
CAUGGAGGGUGAGAAUCCCGUCCGGCUGACCUUCAGGACGUUUUACGAUACGCUCUCAAAGAGUCGAGUUGUUUGGGAUUGCAGCUCAAAAUGGGAGGUAAAUUUCUCCUAAGGCUAAAUACCGGCGAGAGACCGAUAGCGAACAAGUACCGUGAGGGAAAGAUGAAAAGAAUUUUGAAAAGAAAGUCAAACAGUACGUGAAAUUGUUGAAAGGGAAACGAUUGAAGCCAGUCGUACCGACGGGAAUUCAACUUCUCGAGUGCUAAUCGUGGGUGACGUUGAGCCUCACGGCCUUCGUUGCUUGUGUUGUUGGUGCUUUUGGGGUGUACUUUUCCGUAUUGGUAGGUCAGCAUCGAUUUCGAUCGUCAUAAAAUGAUCGGGGGAAUGUAGCUUCGGUCUCGUAUCGGAGUGUUAUAGACCUUGGUAGAUGUGACGAUUGGGAUCGAGGAUUGCAACGAAUACCCUUUGGGCUAUCCGUCUGUCCUCUGAAAGUCGCUCGGGUGUCGAAAGCGUGCUUAUGGCUAUUCGAGUUGGCGGUCAACAGGUUAGAACGUGAUUAUAUUCGUUAAGGAUGUUGACGUAAUGG